GAUGAAGAACGCAGCGAAAUGCGAUAAGUAGUGUGAAUUGCAGAAUUCCGUGAAUCAUCGAAUCUUUGAACGCACAUUGCGCCUUCUGGUAUUCCGGAAGGCAUGCCUGUUCGAGAGUCAUUAACAACCGUUUCGAUCCCUUUCUUUCAGAAAUUACAAAGAGGAAAAGGGUUUGGUUAUGGUGGAGGAGGGAAAGGGAGCGUUUAGCCUGUAAAAAAAGAGGCUGUGUACCGCCUCCCCCCCAAAAUUGUACAGGCGGUCGUGUGCGCCCACGCAUCGAGGUGUUGUAAAAGCUGCCACGGCACUUUUCACCUGUGCAGUGCGAGAUUGGCCAGCCGGUUUAAAAACCCCUCCAAACAAUCAAAGGUUGACCUCGGAUCAGGUAGGGAUACCCGCUGAACUUAAGCAUAUCAAUAAGCGGAGGA
rnacentral:misc_RNA from 1 species